GAUGAACGCUAGCGGCAGGCCUAACACAUGCAAGUCGAGGGGUAGAACACUUCGGUGUUUGAGACCGGCGCACGGGUGCGUAACGCGUAUGCAAUCUACCUUGUACAGGGGAAUAGCCCAGAGAAAUUUGGAUUAAUGCCCCAUAGUAUAUAACCUUCGCAUGUUGGUUAUAUUAAAGUUCCAACGGUACAAGAUGAGCAUGCGUCCCAUUAGUUAGUUGGUAAGGUAACGGCUUAUCAAGACGAUGAUGGGUAGGGGUCCUGAGAGGCAGAUCCCCCACACUGGUACUGAGACACGGACCAGAGUCCUACGGGAGGCAGCAGUGAGGAAUAUUGGUCAAUGGGCGCAAGCCUGAACCAGCCAUGCCGCGUGCAGGAAGACGGUCCUAUGGAUUGUAAACUGCUUUUAUACAGGAAGAAACACCUCUACGUGUAGAGUCUUGACGGUACUGUAGGAAUAAGGAUCCGCUAACUCCGUGCCAGCAGCCGCAGUAAAAC
rnacentral:rRNA from 1 species